CCCUUAGAUGUUCUGGGCCGCACGCGCGCUACACUGACGAAUGCAACGAGCUUAUAACCUUGGCCGAAAGGUCUGGGUAAUCUCCAAAUUUCGUCGUGAUGGAGAUAGAUUAUUGCAAUUAUUAAUCUUCAACGAGGAAUGCCUAGUAAGCGCAAGUCAUCAGCUUGCGUUGAUUACGUCCCUGCCCUUUGUACACACCGCCCGUCGCUCCUACCGAUUGAAUGGUCCGGUGAAGCGCUCGGACCGCGGCCUCUUGACGGUUCGCUGUCGAUUGGCUGUGGGAAGUUCGUUAAACCUUAUCAUUUAGAGGAAGGAGAAGUCGUAACA
rnacentral:rRNA from 1 species